rnacentral:rRNA from 1 species
UGGCUCAGAUUGAACGCUGGCGGCAGGCCUAACACAUGCAAGUCGAACGGUAACAGGAAGCAGCUUGCUGCUUUGCUGACGAGUGGCGGACGGGUGAGUAAUGUCUGGGAAACUGCCCGAUGGAGGGGGAUAACUACUGGAAACGGUAGCUAAUACCGCAUAAUGUCGCAAGACCAAAGAGGGGGACCUUCGGGCCUCUUGCCAUCGGAUGUGCCCAGAUGGGAUUAGCUAGUAGGUGGGGUAACGGCUCACCUAGGCGACGAUCCCUAGCUGGUCUGAGAGGAUGACCAGCCACACUGGAACUGAGACACGGUCCAGACUCCUACGGGAGGCAGCAGUGGGGAAUAUUGCACAAUGGGCGCAAGCCUGAUGCAGCCAUGCCGCGUGUAUGAAGAAGGCCUUCGGGUUGUAAAGUACUUUCAGCGGGGAGGAAGGCAGUACGGUUAAUAACCGUGCUGAUUGACGUUACCCGCAGAAGAAGCACCGGCUAACUCCGUGCCAGCAGCCGCGGUAAUACGGAGGGUGCAAGCGUUAAUCGGAAUUACUGGGCGUAAAGCGCACGCAGGCGGUCUGUCAAGUCGGAUGUGAAAUCCCCGGGCUCAACCUGGGAACUGCAUUCGAAACUGGCAGGCUUGAGUCUUGUAGAGGGGGGUAGAAUUCCAGGUGUAGCGGUGAAAUGCGUAGAGAUCUGGAGGAAUACCGGUGGCGAAGGCGGCCCCCUGGACAAAGACUGACGCUCAGGUGCGAAAGCGUGGGGAGCAAACAGGAUUAGAUACCCUGGUAGUCCACGCCGUAAACGAUGUCGACUUGGAGGUUGUGCCCUUGAGGCGUGGCUUCCGGAGCUAACGCGUUAAGUCGACCGCCUGGGGAGUACGGCCGCAAGGUUAAAACUCAAAUGAAUUGACGGGGGCCCGCACAAGCGGUGGAGCAUGUGGUUUAAUUCGAUGCAACGCGAAGAACCUUACCUGGUCUUGACAUCCACGGAAUUUGGCAGAGAUGCCUUAGUGCCUUCGGGAACCGUGAGACAGGUGCUGCAUGGCUGUCGUCAGCUCGUGUUGUGAAAUGUUGGGUUAAGUCCCGCAACGAGCGCAACCCUUAUCCUUUGUUGCCAGCGGUCCGGCCGGGAACUCAAAGGAGACUGCCAGUGAUAAACUGGAGGAAGGUGGGGAUGACGUCAAGUCAUCAUGGCCCUUACGACCAGGGCUACACACGUGCUACAAUGGCGCAUACAAAGAGAAGCGACCUCGCGAGAGCAAGCGGACCUCAUAAAGUGCGUCGUAGUCCGGAUUGGAGUCUGCAACUCGACUCCAUGAAGUCGGAAUCGCUAGUAAUCGUGGAUCAGAAUGCCACGGUGAAUACGUUCCCGGGCCUUGUACACACCGCCCGUCACACCAUGGGAGUGGGUUGCAAAAGAAGUAGGUAGCUUAACCUUCGGGAGGGCGCUUACCACUUUGUGAUUCAUGACUGGG